UGGCGGACGGGUGAGUAAUGCAUAGGAAUCUGCCCAGUAGCGGGGGAUAACUUAGGGAAACUUAAGCUAAUACCGCAUACGCCCUACGGGGGAAAGCAGGGGAUCUUCGGACCUUGCACUAUUGGAUGAGCCCAAGUCGGAUUAGCUAGUUGGUAGGGUAAAGGCCUACCAAGGCGACGAUCCGUAGCUGGUCUGAGAGGAUGAUCAGCCACACUGGGACUGAGACACGGCCCAGACUCC
rnacentral:rRNA from 1 species